rnacentral:tRNA from 1 species
GGGGAUGUGGCGGAAUUGGCAGACGCACCGGAUUUAGGUUCCGACGCCAAAAGCGUGUGGGUUCGACUCCCAUCAUCCCUACCA